AAAUUCCUCCAGAUGCCUCUGUUUGUACGUGAAACACUAGAUGUUCUGCUGUGAUAAACAGUUUACAUUUUAAAAUCAGCCACAAGAUAGCGCCGCCUAUAGCUCAAACAGCGUUUGGUACGACAUCAAACGGUAGAACAGUGCAUUAUUAUUGUGACAUUUACAUUUCCGCGGGUUAAUUAUUAGUCGUUUGGUAAAUUUUAGUUAAAAUACCUUAUUUCUUUCAAUAACAAAGUGUUCGAUGUUAGAAUCAUAGAACAACACGUAAGAGGCUUAACAAAUGUGAGUACAAGUUUGAAAUUUGAUUGAUCAUAAUGCAUGUGUACAACAUGCUGAGGGUACGAAAUAAGUUCGAUCGUAUGGCUGCCAUGACGUCAUAUCCGUUUGUUUAGGAUUAGUGCACGUUACGAUUAACUUAAAUUACUCGUUGAAUAACACACUUAUGCAGCAUUUUAGAACCUGAGUCCUUAAAAUUUUUAUUUUGAAUAAUAAUAUUUAGCCAUUAUAAUACGUUUCAAAAAGAGGGAAAAAUGAAAUACGUUUCAUGGAAAACGGUUUAUUUACGUAACUUCUUUUUAAAUGUUGUUCAAUACGUUUAUAAAUAACUUAAUUACAUUCGCAUACAGUUAUUUAACGUCUAAAGUGGAAGCGUGAAACAAAGCACAAACUCUGAAAUAAACGUUUAUUUUAUGAACAGAUAGAAAUGGAAUUAGAAAUAAAAUUUUCCGAUAAGAUAUGCGCGUUACAUCACCGUAAUUGCAUCGCAAGUAGGUACACUUCUAUGUCUGUAGUAUACCAACUCGUACUAGACUUUGUACUUUCCGUCGAACAAUUGCCAGGUUCUACCGUCUAAAGAAUCUUCGUUGUUACAAACGCAAUAGAUUUUGUAGGAAAGAAACACUUUUCGUCUUCGCGUUAUAUUUUAUAAUUCCCUAUAAAAUUCCCUAUCAUACUACGCAUACCUGAUAACGACCAUAUACGCGUUACGUACACGUACUUACAUAAAUACGAUUCUUCGUACGUUAUACGCCUGGCCGAAACUUGACUUUAAAUAUAUACAUAUCGAAAAUUUCGAAAUCGAAAGAGACUAAGCGGUAGGUGGAGCAAGAAAAACUUGCUGUGUGCAUCCGCAUGAGCUUACAUCAUCGCAAUUAAAAUACAAACAGAAAUCAUAGACGCUCGCACGCACGCUACAGACGAGCUCGUAUUUCUGUAAUACAUCGGCUUGCCGCGGACGCUAAAAUAAUGUAAGAUGAAUUUGACUUUCGUCCAAUAUUCAACGGUGCCAUAUACCUGCUCACGUUCUCGCGCUCGCACGUUCCGAAUAAAGAACGCUAUCCGCGGCUGCAUCCGUGCACACGCACGACGAAUACGCAACGCGACUCCACGCAAUGCAUACGGACACGGAUGGCGCGCGCGCAAUGCCUUCGAUGUUCGUGAUUCCGUGCAACCCGCGAUUUUCACGAUUCGCUGUCCGUUUCGUUCUAACGUCGUACGAUCUGUCUAAUCGCUUGCAACGAUCACGCUCGGGAUUAUUCGCCGGUAAUAAAGUUUUUGUUUGUCUCGCUAUUGUAUAACGCGUAAUCGUACGACAAUUCCCGUCGGCACUGAUUAUUUCACUCGAACGCGACGAUACCAACCGAGUAAUUGCGCUCGUCUUUUUUCCUCCUGACAACUUGGUUUUUUUUGGAUUCUUUUCUUCUUUUUAUUUUCUUUUUUUUUUUUUUGGCGUUCGGUCGUUGAACGAGACGCAACAUUCUCAUCGAAUAUCACGAGACGUUAUCACGAGACCUUAACAAGGCACGAUGUAAAAUUUAGCGGAGCAAACUCGUGAAACGUAACGUAUUGCUGCUCGAGCGAACGUUUAUUAGAAGAUGUAGCGGAUUUAGCUGGAAACAGUCGGAAAAUUUCCAGCUAUCGUGACACGUUCGAUGCACGCGAGUUGGGAGACGCUGAUGCAACUCGGCCGGCAGCUGCAUGAAAAUUACGCGUUCCGAUUUCCGAUAGUCACCGCAAACAUUGGCACGCAUCGAACCGCGAUGCUUGAAACGCGACAAGAGCAGAAGACCGAUAGGAGGAAGAUGGAGAGAGAAGAAGGAAGAGGUCGUGAUGAGAGAUGGCGUUGAAUAUCGGAACGCACCCUCGCCCAAGGAAAAGAUUCGAUUGCACAGGCGUCGGCACGUCUCCGUCGAGUCGUAUGCCGAGCAUACUUGUGAGAAUGUGCCCGUUUCCCGACUGCCAUCUUGCUUUUGCGUGAUGUCACGGCGUGGCCUACUUCCGAACACUCCACGUGCAAGGGUCAUCGACCCUGCUCUCCUCUAGCCCCCUUUUGCCUAGCCGCUACCGUUCAGAACCACGGAUACCAAAUGCUCUAGCACCACAGGCCCUCCCUUGCCAACCCAACCACCAGCCAGAAUUCCCACCUAUCCGGCUCUCUCUCCUCUCUCUUUCUCUCUCCCUGUUCACCUCCUGCAACCGUACCUUUUCCUCUUCCUCUUCCACUUCCUCUUCCACUUCUUCUUCCACUUCUUCUCUUUUUCUACCUUGUCCUCGUUCCCACUUUCCUUCUCCGUUCAAAUUCAGCCUAGCUUUCUCUAAUUGGCGUUGCUCGUCGUUCUUCGUACAUCGAUUCACCCUUGAUCGUAAACGUCGAUAUAGGAAAAUUAAUACGCUCGAACCUCUGCAGGUAAACUAAUUCGAUGAUGUAAGCGAAAUUCCAUCCUUGAGUUUUACUACAGCCUUACCUUCCAAUUUUUUUUUUUUUUUUUCUUUUUCGGGGAAGAUAUUCGAACGUUCGAUUUAACGUACGAACCGUACAGUGUAACUGCAAUUUCUGUAGGUUUUUCGAAAAGCUAAAGUGAUAAACAAAAUAGGGUUCGGUGUUAUCGAAAAGAAAUGUUGCACUUUGCAUAUGAGAAUUUACCAAUCUAGAGCAUUGAGGGAGAAACAAGGUUAUUGAGCGACGUAGGGCAGUGAUGUUUAGUCAACGGAAACAGUAUCUGUUUUCAUUUUGCGAAAUUAGUUUUCAGUCGUAUUCUCGUUACCUCAUUCUGUCCGCUGCUAUUGUCCAGCGAGUUCCAAUUAGGCCACGUGCAAGCCGAUAUACAAUUUUCUCUCUGUACGAGAAUAUCACGUAUUUAGCUUACCAUUGCUCUUACGUAUUUACGGUGCUGCCACUACGACUUAUGCGAAACUACGAAGCUUAACGAUGUGUUUGUUUUCAGAGAAGGGCGCUCGCUCUGCGUUCCUCGAUAGAGCAACCUACGUAGAAAAUCGAAGGACGAACCGAAGAGAUCGCGUAAGUUUGUCUUACACUAAAUGUUCCUCGUUUACUAGAAUUGCUCAUAAGCGGGUAGCUCUGACUCGGGCAAACAUCGUGCGUACGCACCUGCUACUCUUCGCAUCUACUAAAACUCCUUACGUAACAAAGGCAUCGACCAAAACAACACAUAGCAGAUCGACUAUGUCCAUUGUUCGUUCCACGGAUCGCCGCUUUCUAUUCGAAAAACCAUCUCGCUCGGCCUCUCGGUUCGUAACGAAUUAGCUUUUUCGAUCGAAGUUGCUCGAGUCGUGUUAUCGUUAACGUAUAUAGACGGAAAUUUUAGCGACGUAGAACGUUUUCGAACGACCUCUACGAAUUUAUCGCGCGGUUCACGGUUUCUAGAUGGCUCUUUUUUUCCUACGCCUACGUAUCAAGAGUUAAAAUCACCCUUACCUUUAGACUAAAUUUAGUAAGCUAAAAAUUACCUGUACACGAUGUGGUAAUUUUAUAUAAAGUCGUCAGACCGAUGUACGGUUUAAAAAAAGAGCGGAACACUGGCAGAUUCAUGAAGACGUAUCCUGUUCGUGUGCCACAAACCAGGCUCGGGUCAACAGAGUUGGGAAACGCCGAACGUAACGCGGUGCCGUACCUUGGAAUCAUGUGCACGCACACGUACCGCGCGUACGUGUGUACACGCGUACACGUUGGUCUUCCGAGCUGAGCACGAGCAAGUCCGUACACUUUACGCUCGUCCAUCCACUUUUCUCGGUGAGCGGAAGAAUCCCAAAAAGGGUCAAUGCUCGAUUUACUACGCUACUUUCAAUCUUACUGGACGUGUCUCUUUUCCGCCGUGAUUUCUUACCUGCCAUGCGUUUCUUAAUCACCUCACCUUCGUUCAGGCUCUUCGUUUCUAUUUAUUUGUAUUUGUACGGGGCUCGUAUUACCGUGUUUCUGCGAUAUUUCUUCCAUUCGAAUAAUAACAGAUGCGUUGGUUUAUCGUGAGAAAGGAAGAGCAGCUCGUCUCAAGAGAUUAGACUUUGUUCAAUCAGGUUGCAUCGCUUUCUCCGAUGCUACGAAACGAAAGGCGAAACGUCGCACGCGUCGCAUGGAAAUGAUAGUGGAAGCUCGUGCAUGAAAUGAAAGAAAUGAAACAAAGGAUCGAUACGGAGAAGAAGGCGUAUUCGCAACGCGACUGAUAUGGCCUGUUAAUCUGUCAGUGUGCGUGCGCGUAUACAUCGGGUAAAAAUAAUUUCCGACCAAUCUAAAUAUUUCUAAAUGUCACAAUUACAUUCUAUUGGAAAUAAUACAACGUAGAUUUUUUUGUUACCUGUGAAAUUGGCAAACCCAUGGCAAAAUCUUUGUCACAACUGCGAUCCACUUUUUCACAUCUCUCACACUGUUUACGUGGAAACUGCUUUUUUUAAAAAAUUUCGCUUUUUAAAAUUGUAUGUAUAGGUCGCUGGGAAAUUUUGCAGCUAUUAAAGCUCGAUAUUUCAGAAUAUUUUUCCUUUGUUUUAUACGUCCCUGUUGAACACCAACGACGCCUCUGAUAGUUGUAUUAACACUGGAACUACCACACCAGUCAAAUUGACUGGUUUUACUAUUUUAUUUUAAAACUCCUACUUCGUGUUAUAUUUUUUUUCGCGAUGAUGUAAUAACUUUCGCAACGAUAACUAGGAGAAUAAUAUCAUGAAUUUUAUUUCGAUUUUUAUGUAUUCAAACUGAAAAUGAUUUUGUAUCGAAGCUACUUAUACCAACACCAGUCAAAAUGACUGGUACUUGUCUGCAAUCUGUUUAUCGAAGGCCAAUGAACCAGUUUCCUCGUUUUCUACAAUUUGCCACGCGUUUUUCAAAUUUUUAUCGCGUAUCAUUCGAUAUGACGAUAUCAGUUACCAGAAAAAUUCCGGAUCGAUCGCUGGAUCGCUAGAUGCUAACACUAGAAUUACUACGGCAGUCAAAAUGACUGGUUCUACAGUUUUAUAAAGUUGUCAACCCUCGUUUAGGGAUCUGGUACCAGAUGGAUUAAUAAUACGGAAAAUAUACUAAAUUGAAAUGAAAAAUUGCCUUUUUAAGAAAGUAGUAAAUUAAUAAAUAUAAAAAUAUUCUAUUAUUAUGUAUUUUUUAAAUACCAGUCGUUUUGACUGGUUUUUGGUAGAAAUAGCUUCGUCUUAACUAUCAGUAGUUCUAGUGUCAACACUAUAACACUAUAUUUAUUUAUUUAAUACUCUCUUACAGAAGAAAUUCCAUGUUAUGUAGUACAUUUCUGGUAUUAUUAAUCCAUCUGGGACCAUGAUCCCUAAACGAGGGUUGGUACAUUUAUAAAAUUGUGGAACCAGUCGUUUUGACUGGUGUGGUAUUUCUAGUGUUAGCAUCUAGCGAUCGAUCCGGAAUUUUUCUGAUAACUGAUUGGCCUUCGAUAAACAGAUUGCAGAACUCUUCUACAUUUUGACAAGUACCAGUCAUUUUGACUGGUAUUGGUAUAAGUAGCUUCGAUACAAAAUUAUUUUCCGUUUGAAUACAUAAAAAACAAAAUAAAAUUCAUUAUAUUAUUCUUUUAGUUGUCGUUGGGGAAGUCAUUGCAUCAUCGUGGAAAAAAAUAUAACAUGAAGUAGGAAUUUUAAAAUAAGAUCAUAAAACCAGUCAAUUUGACUGCUGUGGUAGUUCUAGUGUUGAUCGUAUACGUAAACGCGCUAAUUCACUCACACGGUAGCUAGGCUUUUUCCGUAAAUCGAAUUUGCCUACGUUGGAGAAACUUAUCAAACGCGGUUUACGUUCCUUUUCACUUGCGCAUCGUGUACGAUCAAUGUCGUAAUUUUGUCAUAUUUUGAUACAUGUUCGUUCACGCUGAUCACGCUUCAGUCUCAGGCUUCUACCCGUGUGAAUAAAUAAAUAAAUAAAUAAACUAGUCCGUCGGAAUUAUCAAACGUUGUAAAUAUAACUUCCAUUUCGAUCGCCCGACGUUAUAAAUAUUUACGUGCCGAGCGUCAAAAUGAACGAAUACAUCAUAGGCGCGAUUGUUAGAAACACUUUGACUGCCACGUUGGUCAUAUCCGACCCACCACGGUUUCUCCCGUGACGCCAUGGUGGUCAUUGGUGACCGGAGCGCUUCAACUUCUUACAAUUGCAAAAAUUGUAUGAAAAUUGACAGUUAGGGUAUUUUCGAUAUAACCGAUAAAUAGAAAAUACUUUGAAAUAAAAAGUGCCCCGUUGAACAAUUAAACGUUUUUAUUAGAACAUCGAUAAAAAAAAAUGAGAACAAAUGUUGCAUCUAACGGUGCACUGUGUUGAAACACUUUAAACAUAAACGUGGCUCGUCGAUACAAUCUGGACGAUAGGUGGUCACCUCUUCGGUCCGAUUCUUAGCAAUUUUUCAUCCUAAUUGUUUAACAUUUUUUUAUAGCACUCUCUGCAAAAUUUUCGUGCCGGUUACGCUUGCCCUUCUUUCUUCUGCAUUUCUUGUCGCGAUCUUUGUCGAAUAAAUAUAUUUGACGGCUCUGGUGAAUGGCACUGUGCAAGGUGCGUUGCGAGUGCCAUUCUAAAAUCUGAUACCUCGAUUUUUGUUUUUGUUGCUUGUUUAUAGAGUAUCAUCGCGUUUGAAAUGGAUGUAUUUAACGAUAACUCUAAAGCUAAUUUUAUAUACCACUGGAGGGUUCUUCUAUGUGGUGUAGAAUAUACUAUCAUUGGAUCUGAUAAAUCUACAGCACAUUUUCCUCUGUUGUAAUCUACCACUACCAUUGCUUUAUCAGAAACAUAAUUUUUUUUCCGGACCUCUACCAUUUCAGCCGAAUGUUUCGUCGAAAUCAUAAAAAUAACCAUAAUACCGUUUACUAAUAUCUUCUAAACGUUUCAACAAUAUAUUCCGCACGUUCUGCUUACGUCGAAAUAACCAAUGCGAAUGGUUUGUUGAAAUAGACGAAGCCUCGUUACAAUAUGUCGCUAUCAACUGUUACCAAGUCGCCACGGUGGUCACCCGUGACCACCAAAAGAUAAGCGGUCCAUUGGGCAAGAAUGUUGUCUUUCAUCAUCAAUUUAUUAUUAUUUUGCCAUUAUAUGCUUCGAAUAAUGAAAAUACUCCCGUGGCGUCCUCAGCCAAACACGUGAUUUCCGCGUGGCAGUCGAAGUGUUAAUAUUUCAUUAGCCUAUCGCAGAUUGUCAACAAUCGCAAAAUCUAACAUGGAAACGCGCCUAAUUAUUACAAGAUCCGUAGGAAACGUCGAACACCGUGAAACAAUUUCCUACCGAAAGAGCAGAAAAUUUGUUCGAAAUCGAAAAGUGUCGUGACACGCGGCGAUCGUUUAAAACGACAAGUGUGUCGCUCGCUAUUUGGCGGUAGACGAAGCAACCCUCGAUAAAUGUUCGAUGUCAGAGACGCGGAAAAUAGUCUACCAAAUUUGUACUGGCGGCUGGUACGAAAAUAUCGGCGGUGUCGGAGGAUGAGUUGGCCGCGGUGAGCGACACGUAAAUAAUUAGUAUUGGCCGGCAAAGUGUAAAAAGUAAAAAGAAGAGACAGAGGAGGAGCGAAGGCGUGGUAGUGGGUGUGAUGACGCGAAGGUAUGACGCGAAUAUAGGAUGAAGAGUGCAGCUUUCAGCGUUGAGGACGAGCGUACCCGAAGCAACUAAAUUUUCAAUGGUGGGGUUGGAUCGAUGGAAAGGUUGACCCAGUGACCUGAAACCUGGUGCGCCGGUUAGUUUACGAACUGCAACCUCGAUCGAUCUGGAUGUGCUGGAUAUCCAAUCGCAAUUACAUUUCCACCAGCUUUCCGGUCAGCGAGCCAACGUUUUCGUAUUUGUCGCGUUCCACUUCUAAUUAGCAACUAUCGGUAAGAUUCGCUACGUUAUCGUUCGACGGUGUAUCGUACAAUGCUCUUAAGGCAGCGAUGCUCGUUUAUCGAGUGGAAAUGGCAUUGUGUAUCGCGUUCGUUUGAAACCAGAAAUCGACGAGUUUGCGCUUGAAAAAGAAAGGAAAGAAAAAGGAAGAAAAAGACGAAGAGUAGGCGUUACGAAGAGGUCGAUUACCACUUUUAGAUAUUUUUGAUGAGAAGUUAACGAUAUGCCGCCAAUGAUUCGAUACGAUUUCGUUCGUAAGAUUUGCAUCGUAUUCGCGUGUAUCGCGCUGGAAUAUCAAAUGAAAUAUCAAGUUGUUUCGCGAUCCUCUUUAUCGUAUCGUGGUUCGAAUUUCAACGUCUUGAAAUAUACAAUCCGGCAAAUAACGAGCCUCAUUAUCGGUUGCAGCAAAACUUGUUGACUACGCGAUUCCUUGCAUUUUACAUAAAAUCGGCACUCGAGUCACCGCGAUAACGUACGGAACGUCAGGUUACGAUGGUCUGAAAGCCAGCACGGGCAAAUAAAAGUAUCGAUUGUAAAACGAUACGGCGAAAUGUCAAGAUCGAGGCUUUAUCGAGCGGAGAAAUUAUUCUUGCUAACAUAUGCAAAUCCAUUUGUAUAGUCGCCAUCGAGAAGAAGUCUAUCCUCGAUAAGAACGUUCGAAGGAUAAAAAUAGGCAAAUUGCACGGAUACUUGCUCAUCUGGGUCACAUUAUUAUAUAUAAAAUUGCAGACAAAAUGCAGCGGGUGACUAACGAAGAGACUUUGCAUCUUUCAUUUGGCUAUCUCGCGUCAGACGCUCUUCUAUGCUGCAUUUUUAAUAAAUUGGAAAUACCAAGUCCAAUAUGUCACAGUGCAAUACCUACACACGUACAUAUUUCAUCGAUUUUCAAAAGUAAAAUUUCCAGGCGAAUUUCACGCCAAUCCCUCGUGUCGAUUUCACGCGCUUUUUAAACGCAAUUAUUCUCCUCUUUGUGCUCUUUCUGUCUUCUCUCGUUGUGUCUAAGGUAUAGGUCUGCUAGGUGACAACCUUAUCGAAGGGUCCACACUAGCAGAUCUUGGACGAAACACUCGCUCUUUCUGUCUUCUCAUUGUAGAACAAUUUUUACCAAGUUUUCUGACAUCGACGCGCGAUCAUCGAGGCAACGUGAAUUAUCGAUCUUCUCAUUUCGCCAUCGCGUCGAUCUGAUACGCAAGGGAUCGAACACGAGCAUCAAACACGAUACAUCGAAUCUCCAACGAAGAAGAGUAAAAGACACAAAAAGAGGUAAAUGAGGUGUACAGGUCGCGACAGUGCGAGAUCAUUUAUCGCGGGCAAGGAACUUGGACGCCAGGUUUUGAAACGCUCUAUAAGGAGAAUAGAGGAGAGAUGCACGUUAGAAGAGUAGGUAGCUGCGGGGUGCGAAGAGAAUUUCGGUCGGAAGCAUGCGCGCUCGGUUGCGAUGAAUCCAGGGCUCGAUUCCCUUUGCCCCCAUUGAAAUGUUGCUCCCUUUGCCUCCUCAUCUCUCUAUUGAGCUUCCACCCUGCGCUAUUUAUCCCCUCGCAGGAGGCAGGUGGCGUCGAGGGAGAGGAUACAGCGUAACCGAGGGAUACGCUGAAAACAGCAGGAACACAGGCAACAGGGGACGGAUAACAGUAAAUUGUUAUUUUUGCAAACAGAAUGAUUUUAUUUUGCCAAUGCAGGAAAACACUGGCCGGUUCAGCGACUCUACCGGCUCGAUAGGAAAUCAGUCGACGAAAUAGAAAGCGGUUCGAGAGUUCCAAAUAUCCUCAAGUUUACGUCCACAUCACGACAAUCUGCAUUUUAUCGAGAAAUUUGGAAAUAACGUAGCACGGUAGUGACACGCGAUACGUUGGAACAGGUCGAACGAAACGAGAUUCUCCUUCGACGUGGUUAAAAUUGGUUCGACGAGGAAAAGUUGCGAGGGAAAAUCGAUGGUAAUUUAGCCGACUAUCCGUUGAUCAUAUCAGCUUGACGACAGUAUCGGCGAUUAAAGACGCGUCGCGGAAGCUAUAUCCCGGUGAAAAGUGAGACGAAACGUUGUAGCUAGAAGCUUUGCAACAGGGGUUGCGAGAGGAGCCGGAUCGAGGUGGAAGGUGUAAGAGAGCAAGGGAAGAAGGACGUACGAACGAAGGAUCGUGGGUAAGGGUGAGCAAGGAGUGGGGAAACAAGAAGAGGAGAAACCAGGGCGCAAGUAUUGAUCGCAGCCUGGGUGGUUGACACAUUUACCAAAAACUUGGCGUGGUCUAGUUUCGGUCUGAGGUCACGAAAGAAACAGCGAAGAAAAUAGCUGUACAGUUUUUUCCCACCGUUGAAUUUUCUACGAACGCGGCUGACCCAUAUUUCCAUUAAUUAAAGCUGAAACGGCGAUUGAUUUCUGGCAACAGUGCAACGUGGCUUCGAUGCUCCAAUUUCAUUCGUAGCGUCCUUCGUUAAAGAGGACGCGGAUAAGCCGGGUAUUUAAGCAACGUUAGAAUAUUAAUUAGAGCCGCUUCUACCAACGUACAGCUGCUGCCUUUUGUCCUUUGACAAAGAUAUCUCCAAAGUUCGCCAAUUUUUUCCAUUUACCCGAAAUACCACGAAUUGGAGGAUUUACGUGGACGAGAUACCUCGUGGCGCAUCGAGUAAACGUUUGCCGUGGCAAUGCGGCUUUCUAAAUAUCCGCUGCCUAUUAAGCCGCUAUCCAAUUACGAAAUACCUGGUAUAUUCGCAUAAUUCUUGCCUCGUGUGUCGGACUAAUUGGAGAGCGAAGCGUGCCAAAAACGUCGUCCCACGCGAUGUUCGACAAGAACACGCUGUCUACUAUGACGAUGAUAGCGAACAGACUGCAGCAGCAGUUUGGAAGCUAGCAAUUCUGAUAUUUACAGACUCAUCGGUCAUAGAGCAACCUACAUAGCCUGCAAAAGCCUGCUUGCGUAUCAGGCUGUUUCAAAGCGUCUUCGACGUAUGGCCACACACAGACAGAAGUAGCAGCUCCACGAUAACAAUACGCGCGAUCGUUUUCCCACGAUGCUUCAUCGUGCGUGAAUUAUAGGAAAGUAGAAAUGGUGUAGGGUGGGCUUGGUGGGGAGUGGGGUAGAAUAAAAAAUGGAAAAAUUAAAUUGGUGAUCUCAUAGAGGGAAAUCCCGUGGCCCGAACUCGGGAACUUUGCCAAAUGGGUCAGAGCUCGUAUCGAGCUGGUACAGCAGCUACAUCGUUGUACUGCUGACCUCAGCCCUCCUUGCCCUUCUUCUGCCCGCGUCCUCGUCGCCCUAGAUGGCGAUCUACAGUGAUUCUAGAGCGAGGCCACCGACACAGGCCAACUACAUACAUAUUUUGUCGAGCUGCUCAUCUUAUGUCAGCCGUUCCUCUCCUAUUGUUUCGCGACCGAUGCCAUCCUAUCGAGCCUGCUGUCUCGUAAAAGUAAUUCAAUGAAAGUUAGCUCGCAUGAGAGAGCAUCUGCCACAGUCACUGGGCCUCUUUCCUUUCAAAUUACCAGCGGAAAAAUGUAUCGUCGUUUGCUGGUGCAUAUUUUAUCGCUCGCUGACAAUUUCCAAUUUUCAAAUUCGCAUCGGUACACUUUGUCGAACAGAUAACGCUUAACACUAGAACUACCGAUAGUUAACACGAAGCUGUUCCUAAAUCACUGGUCUUUAAAAAACACGUAAUCGUAGAAUAUUUGUAUAUUUUAUAUUUCUUACAGAAGCAAUUCCAUGUUGUGUAGUACAUUUUUGGUAUUACGAAUCCAUCUGGGAUUAUCAUACCCAAACGAGGGUCGACAAAUUUAUGAAACUGUAGAACCGGUCAUUUUGACUGCCGUGGUAUUUCUAGCGUUAGCAUCCAGCGAUACAGCGAUCGAUCGGGAAUUUUCCUGAUAACCGAUAUCGUCGUAUCGAGUGAUACGCAGUAAAAAUGUGAAAAACGCGUGGCACGUUGUACGUAAUCUGGUAUUGUAAACUGGUUAAUCGGGGUUCGAUAAACAGAUCGCAAGAUCCUUUUACACUUUGACAACUGCCAGUCAUUUUGACUGGUUUUGGUAUAAGUAGCCUCGAUACAAAAUUAUUCUCGGUUUGAAUACAUAAAAAUCAAAAUAAAAUUCAUUUUAGUUACCAUUGCGAAAGUCAUUACAUCAUCGCGGAAGAAACAUAACAUGAAGUAGGAAUUUUAAAAUAAAAUUGUAAAACCAGUCGAUUCGACUGGUGCGAUAGUUGCAGCGUUAAACGAGCGACUCGUUCCAUCGGCGAACGAGCCUUAUGUGUCCGUGUUAAAUAGCUGGAUGAUCGAUCGAUAGACAGUGCCGCUAAUUCACUCACUCGCUUUGUAUUUAUAGAUAUAGAUUGUUCUAAAAUCGGUCACAUUUAACUGCAAUCGUUACGCGUAAUGGAAAAGAGGAUCGCGUUUGUCCGUAAGAGAAAUUCUUGUUAUUGGCGAUAUUAACGGGUCAAUGUAUUUUAAUUGCACGAUCAACGCGUGUAAAUUGAAACGAAAGAAGAAACGAAAUCCUCGGAUGGACAUGCGAAAAGAUAUAAUUCUGGGAAACGUACUACGAAUUGCGCGAUACGAUGGUUGCUGAUCUCUAACGAUUAUCGUUGCUCAAACAUAAAUCUUGUCCCUUUGCUCUUGCACGCCAUUCAGGUCGUUAAAAAGUCCAUCUGUCGCUCGAAUAAUAUUCAAACAAGGCGUUAUACAACACAAGAUAAAAACACAUAUAGCCAUAGGAAAGGAUUAAUCUUACGUUCAUUUUAUCAACGAUAUCAAAUAAUUGCGCGUCUCCGGCUAAAUCGCGAUAUCGUUCUACGUAACGUAUUUGUUUCUUUUUUUUUUCCUUUUGCGCUUAUUUUUAAAUCUCGAAAACAAACUUGCCUUGGUAGGAGGAUUUUUCUUAGCUUCGUUCGUUUCCAUUGUUAUUUACGUAGGUUGGAAACGUGUUUGUUAGAUGGAAAACCGAGCGUAGAAAUAUUACACCUAUGAAUUAAUCCCUCUGCACGUGUAAUUAUGUAAUGUUAAUUGCUUGUAUCUUUUAUCGCAUCGCGAGAUUGGAAAAUGAGCUAUUAUCUUUCACGCAACUCACGCCCAUAUAAUCCGCCAGUACAUAAAGAUAACGAUAUGAAAAACUUGAGAACUAGUUUCAUCGUCUGCAAUUUACCAUGCACGUCUAGCGCUCGUUAAACGAUAACAUUCUCCAUAUUUUAAAUUGAAAGCGAUUUCCGAGUAGCUGAGAUAUCGUCGAUCCUUUGAUCCGCGUUGCACGGAAUAAACGGGCCAUAAAAGGCUGACCAUAAAAGCAAAAGCAAAGAAACCGUGAAAAAGCCUGAAAACCAUGAUUAAUCGCGCUUAUUGCUAAUAAUAAAUUAAUAACACUGCGCUUGUCGUAGCAUCUUCGUAAGCCUUCGUAAGUUUGCUGUACGCGUAUACUACGAACGAAGAGCGGAGUAUCGCAGUUUUUCGAUUGGCAACGAUCUUACGAUCGCACGACUCGAUUACGCCAAUUACGUUCGACCUAUCGCAAGACAAAUUUUUCCGCUUCUACGUCUCGGUUAUCGUUUUUCCUUCGUUUUCUCUUCUAUCACAACAAAGAGCAGUGCAGAAAUAGUACGCGAUAGUAUUGCGUACGAAAGAGAGGAACAGAGGGGGGGGGGGGACAAGAGGCAAGGAGAUUGUCAGAGUUGACUAUUUACAGACUCCGGACGCAGUUUCAACCUCUUUCUUCGAUACUGACACGGCCAUAAAUAGCGAAUGCCAGUAUCUGGACCGGUCCUGUUUCGUAUUACGGUACAGUCGAUAAAAGGAAAUCGCGACGCGGUCGAGAUAACACGGAGCCAGACGAAAAUUUUAAGCGAAACGAGGUGAAAACAGAAACGAACAGAGAUAAAAAAGGCAAAAGGCCGUUCGACAGUUUGUCGAAUGCAGCACGUGGCACGGGGCACGUGCCUAAAGGUCGUUGCCCGUCUAUACCGGAUUUUGUUUGAUCCCCACCUCCUCGCCUCCUCCUCGUUUCUCGCCUACAUUCUGCUCUUUGCCUAGUUCUAGCUCGAAUAGUACAAUGCACAUACGAAACACAUAUAUCGAUUAAAGAUUUAUCGAGCAAACGCACAUUAUCACGUACUCGAUGCUUCGCCUUUAAUCCCGUCCCUCUCUCUUUUUCCUCGCCCGCCUUUUAUCCGCUUUUCGUGCCGCCGUUUAACGCGCUGAAUUUCGCCAUACGUUUUAUACAUAGAAACAACAUGGACAACUUACUUCCUGACACAGUGUUCGAUCGUCAGCCGAACGAGCAUCGACAUUUACGAAACAGAGAUCGAGUGUCAGAGAUAGAAAACAGGUGUUUAGGGACCAGUUUUAGAAUUUUAGCGAGAUUUUAUAGGUCCUCGAGUUACCACCCAUCGUCGUAAAUUAUCGUUUCGAAAGCGCUGCCACUGCGUUCCAACGUUUCACGGUUUUUCCCUCCGUACCGUAACCAGUGGACGAGUGAACGGACUGUGUAGUAAGAUGUUCGCUAACUCUUUUAUACUUGCACGGAUAUCAUUACAUAAGUGGAUGCAAUUUACAGCACGAAUGAUUUUUAAUCUAGUGCGAACCGCUGGCGAGUUACGCUAAUUGUAAGCCAGUACACUGCAAUCGCCGCGUAAACCACCCGCUAUUAAUAGGAACCAGCCGCACCUAUUUAUCUUGCAUAGGAGAGUCAAGUGCAGCUGGCCAGCCAGCCGCUGUGCACGGCCGACAACCAACCACUCGAUUAACAAUCGAGUACUAGAAUUCUAUCGUCGCUCUUUUUUACUAUUCCCUUUUUUCUUCUUUUUUCAUAUAGUUUGCUCUUUCUCCAAGCUCCUGCAGGGUCGAAUCUUGCAGCGACGUUCGAAAUAACAUAGAAAGAUUUUCAUCAGAUUUUGAAGAGCUUAAGCUGCACGCUAAGCUGCAUCGAUGUUUCGAAUGUAUAAUGGCAAAGCAGGAAACGAUGAAAGUGAUAACCGCGUAGAACGUUCUUUUCGUAGCUGACGCACGUGUAAACCGAUCGCACGCACGAAUAAAACUACAACAUUUGCUUUUAUACUCAUACACGUGUUGCCCGUGAUAAGAUAAAAGGUGACACAUUCAAGAGCAUGUGACGAUCUAUCUGGUACGAAAUGUACAUAUCUGUAGAAAAAAUUGAUAUCGGAUUGCAAAUGUUUAGAAACUCGCUUCUUCCUGGUAGCCUUAAAAGCUACCGAGAAUAUCUCAUAAUUCCCGUAAAACGUAUUCUUCUUCUUUGAAAAUUCAAGCUUAAGCAUUCGGCACGCGAGAUCGUACAAUCGAAGUACGUAGCCCAGGCAGCAGUGUGCUAGCACCAUCUCAUGUUCCUUUUUUUCGCAAUGCGACAUUUAAGCUUCGACGUGUUUUUCGGCUGUCGCGUUCCGACUGCAUCAACUUUCGUGGAAAAUCCCACGUGAUCUAGAUACGUGUACGUAUAUACGCGUGUACUUAGGCGAGACGAGGCGGCUGCGCGGCUCCAACAAAGAACACGUUUCCACGCCUAUGCAUCCGAACGGACAUACGUACGUACCACGUGUCCUAUCCUCGCGUGACUAGGUACCGGGAGCACGUGGCCCCCCACCACGCGUCCCUUGGGUCCGUCAGACGCUCACGAAAAAAAGACGGACGUAGAUUACCGUGAGGGACAGAAAAGCCGACCUAGGGGGAGAGACACGUUCGAGGCCAACGAAGAAAAUUCGGGAAGAAUGGGUGGCAACUUGACGAAAUCGUAAAGAAGAAACUCGAUGGAGAGGGACGGAAAUAGAUAGCGAGGGUAGAGACGCGCAAGAUGCAGAGGGUUGGCGAAGGGGAAGCUCGAGCGAAUCGCGAAAAAGAAUGGAAUUUUUCAGCGCGAACGAAGAACACAGAAUUCUAUAUAAGCAUGUGGGAUUUUUUAUAUCUCGCGUCUCAGGCAAAUAUUCGAGUAAAUCGGAUGAUCAAUGAAAAUUGGAAUUUCCAUAGAGAAGUGGAAAUGUAACGUUAAACGUGUUGCCGCUGUUACGCGCUAAUUACAAAUUACGCUUUGGUUGCCAGAAUAACGGAGAUGAAUGUAUCUUCGUUCUCGGAUUUGAAAACUUCCACUUAUCGUGGUAAUGUCGCAACGAGACAGAAAAAUGUCGUAUUUCAUGUCACUGUCCAACCACGUAACGAGUACACGCUAACCAAGAUAACGAGUAUUCAAAUAAUUUAAUAAUCGAACUCUUCACGCUCCUGCUAUAGCGUCCAAGCUAUGUACGUACGUACAAAGGUUGACAAAUUUCGUGGGAUACGACAGCCGCACUGCGGAACACACUUUUUUUAGUCUUGGCUUUUCUUCAAUCCGAGUGCCAGAAAAUUAAACAUUCAUGUAUUUAAAGAUAGCAUUUAUGUAUUUAAAAAUAUACAGACGAUCUUGAAAAGAGAACACGAUCUUGAUAUCUCCUUUGUCACACUGACCUCAAAACGGCACUUCACUUGAACGAAUGAAAUUUCAAUAGAAAAUUCUCAUUUUUCCUAUGCAUCGUUUGAUCCUAGAGAUGAUCGAUCGAAGGGCACCAAAUAUUCUAUUAAGCGCAACGUGCAAGCUUUAUUUUCAUAAUUGUCCGUACGCCAGUUUCUUUCAAUAACGCCUAACUUUGACAGUGAGUACGUGACACAGGGGAAUAGGUUCAGAGAGAAAGGACAGACAACAGAAAGGACGGAGGAUGGAGGUUGUCAAAAAAGGAAGGAAGGAAUAGAAAGAUGGGGUUGGAAUAAAAGAGACUGAGGGGAGCACGAGAGAGAAAAGAGCGAGUGUUCACCCAAGAAAGAGGAAGAGAGAGAGAGAGAGAGAGAGAGAAAGAGACAAAGAGACGGAGAGAGAGAAAGAGAGAGCACUAGAAGACGGAAGAAAAGGGGAGCAGAGCGAGAACAAAGUUGGUGGGGUCGAUAGUUGGCCGAGUUGGCGAGAGAGCCGGUUGUGUAACAAAGGAACGAAGCAAGUAACAAGAGCCCCAAGGUUCAUUCGUCGAUUUACCUCGGCUUCCUCGAAUGCGCGGCGUUCCGCUGAUAAAUCAGCAACGAUCGUCACUUUCCAACUUGUAUUUACUUGCGCGUGGUUCAUUUCCAAUCCACCGAUAACGGCGAGAUCGUGCGACGAACCAUUCCGACCAUCUGCUCGGUUACCCUUCUGUCUUUCGCAACGACCAUUUUACGCGUCAGAAUAUUGCAGUUAGAACGGGUCAAUCGAUAUCAUGCGCGAUAACACGUCGUUUCAUUCGACGAAACUGCAUCCUUUCGCUUCUAUAAUAUUCGUAUUUUUCGAAAUUUUCGAUUGGAUUCGAAGUUAACGAUAUUUGCAAUACUACGUGUAACCUACCUAACCACGAGUAAUACGAACGAAGGGAACUACGAUCGCCAUCGUGUAACCUUUUUACGUUUUUAACGACGGUAUGAAUCAUGACGCAAUUGUCCAUGAAAAGAUGCAGUUUACCGUUUCGAUAAGAACACGCCUUUCGCAUCUUCUGGCUGUUUCCAGCACGCGUCAGUCCACGUGACUAUUCCGCAUCAGAAUACACUAACCAAACCUUCGCUAUCUAAAUCUUCUGAGCUCGGAACCGAUUCGAUUCCUAACCUCUUUUAAAGUAAUGAACUUGUCAAAGACGUAACGCGUACUUUCGCGAACGAUCGACUGUCACGAGAGAGAAAAAUGGAGGAAAAUAUUCGAAAGAAAGGAAGCAGUGGAAAGAAAUCGUGGGAGAAGGAGCUACGUUUCACAGUGAAAUACUAUUCUGAAGUGAAGUGUACCGAAGAAGAAGAUUGAAACGUGGAGGGUGAAAGGGAACGCGAAAGAGGGAAAGCAGAAAGAAACAAAACGCGAGAGAAACGAAGGAGAAAAAGUUGCAAAUGCAGGGAGAGAACGGAAGAAGAAAAAGGGGCGCGAAGCCAAGCAAAGGUUUACACGAGGCGUUGCUUACGAGUUGAAAUACCUGGAGGAACGAAUCUUUGAUGAUCGGAGGCCAUUACGGUGUGCCCUAUAUGCGAAACAUGGAAGAUCGAUAGAAAAAUGGGUCAAAGGUUCGACGGUGUUUUCAGCGUAAGUAGUAAUAGCAAAACGCGGUAACCUGGUUACUUUUGUUGGAACAUCCUCGAGCGAACACUGGUAAGGAAAAAAAGACAAAUUCGCAUAGACGCUAUUAGGCUAAAUAUUUUUCAUGAUUUUGCGCAUAGCAGGAAAAGGGAUUGGCUGACGUCCAUCUCCGUAUUCACGUUUGAGAAGCUUAUACUACAACGAUGGCCUUUUGGACCUGUAGCAUGGAGUCCAAAGGCGGCGGGUAUAAAGACUGCCUUGAUUCGUCGGUUUUCUUCCCAUCGGCAGCAUAAGUAGCGCGUUUCCGCGCGGCUUGUAGCCAGUUCCUGUUCGACCAUCAUACGACCGUAGCGAAGCGCGGGCGUGCGGAAUCUUCCAAUACAUGCGCACGCAAAAAUACGUCGGUGCCGUCUAUACGUGUGCGUACAAAAGCUCGCAAGUAGUAAUAUACAUGCACGUGUGUACAAUAUACAAACAUGUACAGUUGUGUGUGUUUGUGUAUGUGUACGUGGAUAGUCGUGUGCGCGGUGUCCUCGCUGAAUAUCAUUCGUGUAAGAUCGAGAGUGGCCUCGUGUGCUUCCUACGUGUGUGUUGUGUGUCCCAUGGAUAGUGAACGCCGCGGGAAUUCGUGGUGUGCAAUCGACCAAUAGCAGGCCAAGUAGCAACGGCUAUGCACCAAUCAGCGAGCAGAAAUGCUUGCGAAUGCGCGCCUCAGUUACCACCGGAUGCCGAUCAUAGUUGGUAGUGGGGAUAAACUGAGAGUGCGGCACAGGCUACGCGCUCGAGCGCAUCCUCGUUCGUCGCUGCUCGCCAUCGGAGUCGGUCGUGUUUAACGCUCGAAUCUUCUCUCCGGCAGUUUUCCGAACUCGAAGAUAGAGACCUCUCGUCAUUUGCCAGAGACUCGACGCUAUCGUGGUGUUACCACGUUUGCCAUCGAUAACGACCACGGCAUUGUUCCUUCGUCUUUGCUUCUCGUCGUCAGUUCGGAUCAAACCGCGGUCUGUGCUACUUUGUCGGCCUUGGUUCUUUGAAAUAUAAAGCGUUCUGCAUCGUCGUGAUAAUAGAACUCGUGUCGCGUAUCCGUUUGAUUUUUGCUGUGCCGUGGCGUGGUCCGCAAAUUGCGUGCGUGGCGUUUCACCGAGACCGAGCCUAACUGGAAACGAGCACCGAAUUCCAAAUGAUCGACUGUGGAACCAAGUAACUGCCUUGGACCGUCACUGUGCACCACUUUAUAUCUUUUUUACUAUUUGUCUGUAUAAGUGAUCGCGCGAUCUCUAAAGGUCAAUUAUCGUGGUAAUGCGCAUUUGUAUUCGACAAAUGUUUUCCGGAUAUUUUGUUUAAAAAUUUAUCAACUAAUAAUUUAAUUCAUUAUUUAAUCCGCAUUUCUAUAUUUCUUUGCUCGCAAUUUGCAGUUUUUCACUUUCGUAUUUGUAUUAAAAAAAUCAAAUACGCCGUACAUAAUUUACCGUAUAAAACGUUUGAACGCGCGAUUGUCCGAUUAGAUCCGUUCGUGUCCAAUCGUUCUACGUAUAUACAUACAUACAUACAUACACACUUACGUACGACGUGUGCAGUGAGCUCCAAUAAAUGCCAGCGCGGCACAUGGAGGGUCCAACAGAUCUCUCGCGGACUUAAUCGUGAGAGCCUCCGAGGAGAAAUAAAAAUAUGGAACGAUGCGAGAAGAUAUUACUGAUUUGGUGAAUAUUGAUCUGACGAUCAGAAACUUAUCUUCCGUGCAUAUGACAAAAAAGAAAGAAAGGAAACGUUCAUACGUCGACGGUGCUCGUGUCCGUAUUCCUCUGGUCUAUCAGUGGGUAAAGAUGGCGGUCUCGUCGUUCGGUUGGUUCGUUGGUUGAGUGGUGAGAGGGGCAACUGUGACGCAACCUAACGUCACGUGAUCAAACCGUGGCUCUGCUCUCGCUGGGCCAGUGUGUGAUCUAACGUUUGUUACGGCAGUUGGUGGAAGAUAACGUCUGGAGAGUGCAGGGUAGACAAGAAGGAGUACUUUUUUUCGACGUUGCUCUCGAUGGUUCGCCCGUUGCCGACGCAACAACACCUUGAUCUUUUUCUCGGUCGCUAGGUCAGUGGGGGUGAGAAACUGGCUUGGCUCUCUGUGCUACGAUAGUCAGUCUUUUUCUCUCUCCUAUCGACCUCGCGACACAUCUCUAUCAACGUCAAUCGAACACGCUCCACUUUUACAAGAAGAUAUCACGUUACUUUCUCCUUUCGCACCUUUAUAUACUUUUUAAGAUUUCGGAAACGAUAGGGUAUGCUGCAGGAAAACGACGAAGAUUCUGCAUACGUGCGUGGGAUUAUUCAUUGGUUUCGUGGGCUCAGCAGUGAAAACCGUGUUCCCCCAGCUGUAAUGUACUCUGUUAAAAAGGCUCUGGGAUCAUGGAAAACACUGUGCGAGUACUGACCAUUCUUCAAGCAUAUCGUCGUUCCUAUCCAUCGUUCUGUCUUUUUUCAGCUGCGUGUAUAGUCGAACGCAGCCGUGAGCGUACGCAAAUUAGUCUUCCGCUCGUUUGAAGCGUAAAGUACAGUGCACAUCCGUCGGCCGGAAAAUUUCAUUCGUAAAAUCGCGUUCAUCCUUACGUAGAAGCGUGGUGGAAUUUUUUCAAAUAUUGUAGCGUUUAAAAUCACGCACGUUCUCUUAACGGUAGGAUUUAGAUGAAUAUGUAGUAAAUCGAAUGGGUACACCUGCUUCGUCGAAUUGUCUUACGUAGCAGCUGAGUAACGUGGUCUCGAUCGUCGUUGCAAAGCCACUUUGUAAUUGCUGUGCAAUAUCCCUGCCGUUAGAGCGCCGUUCACCUCGAGCCUUCUGUACUUUCUAAAACCGCUUACUUUCGUAACUUAGCAAACACCGUCGGCCUCGUACCGCGUACCGUAUUGCUGAUGGUGAUUAUGGGCUUACAUUUUUUCUUUCUUCGCAAAGCUCUGCGUUGUCAUUUUUCAUAUACAUAAUAAGUGGAUAAGAGCGUACCUUUUUUAACUCUUUAUGGAUGCUUCUUCGCAGGUUGAACAAGUUUAUUGCUUCCUCGUACCGAUUAUUUCUUUUAUUUUUGAGAAAUUCGUUGGAUGCAUAUUUUUAAUGGUACGAUGCAAUAAUUGUUUAAAAAGAUCUCCAACGUGUAGUUCUCGUAUGAAAAAUCAUAGAAAAUAGUUUGAACGUUUAACUGUUUUGCGUAGAUAAACAAACACUUUGUUUCGUUACAUUUUAAAAUGUAUUAUUUUCUUGAAGAUCGUGAAAGAAAAAAGUGUUUACGAUGUUUUUAUCGGAUCAGAGUUGUUAGAAGGGGACUAUCGCAUAUCUUGUCACGAUUUUCACGUAAAAAGCGUAUGCAUAUACAAGCGAAAAGUUUGGAAAGUUACCACUCCUUAGGAAGAAUGAACAGGUAGGAGACUAUGAUGGAACGAACGAGAUAUACCGUGUGCGCACGUACAUGCUAGGAGGAAAGGGAAGUGGGACUGGCUUGCCUUGUGCUACUUUGUACACACGUACCGCUAUCGAGAUUGUAGUAUCGAUAUGUAUUUUGUACCGAUAUCGUAAUAUUUACCAGAUUUGUUCCUUCUUUCAGUACCAUCAACAUUGAAUCAUUGCUAUUACCGAACAAUGUGCAUUAUAAAUCUUUAAAUGUUUGCACUUGAACCUUCUUUCCUCCUUUUACAAAACUUUCAAAGAAACUUUUGCUUUCGUUCGAUCACUUGGUUAUUACCACUUUAGCAUAACUCGAGCAUGAUUGGUUCGUUUCGGACAUGGUAGCGGAAGGAGGUACAUAAUUUCAUUGGUCGACUUCGGAGGGUCGUAAAAGGAACUGGAAAAUGGCCUUGGGAAAGAAGGAUCCUAAGCCGUAAGUAUUGGUUAAAACCCAUGCAAAAACGCAAGUGGCGGGUGGUCAACAACCGCCAUUUUAUAGACGCCACCGCAUUUCGGCCAUCUUUUGUAUAGUAACCGAAACGUUUCCAUUUCCAUUUGGGAUUGCUCGAUUGGCUCGAAUUCCAUUCACGCGCUAUCUAAUUUUACUCGUUGGCCUCGAAUCCGCUUCGCCAUGGCCUAUAGCGUGCUGUUCUACCUGAGUCCGAGGAAACACGCUUGCAAUCAAAGUCGUUCGAAUAGUUGAACUUCCCGAUUUAUUGCUAUUUCUAUUGAUUUCUACAAUUUUCAAUCUAAUAACGAUUAUUUUUAUUCACAAACCCGUAGUGCAUCUCGAUGUUGGCAAAGUACCGAAUUUGUCUAAUAUCAUUCGCUUGUUAUUAAAUAUAGCGAUUUCACCGGAAGUAAUACGACUGUAUAUACGUGUAUGUAAUUACUUGUUUAUAUUUAUAUCCGUAGGCGUAUACAGAUUGUUGUUAUAAGCAAUACGAUAAAUAUAUACGUACAUGUAAAGUAAGAUGUUCUAUGCAUGCGCAUGUAAGAUAGAAAACAGUUGUUUUUUGUAAUAAAGCGUUAGUUUUAUAAACUUGAAUCUUCUGCAACAAUAUUAAGAAUAAACACAUAUAUAUAUAUAUAAUCAGAAAGCUUCAUUUGCUUCUUUUAAAAGACCACACCACUCUAAUUCAAUCUGCGGCUAACAUUUUUUUAGGUAAUUCACGUAUCAACAUGGUAAAAGGUUAUACAGAUUUCUAGAACGUUUAUACCCUCGCCUUGGUAAUCUCGUUAACCGCUUCGGUAAAGGAUUAAACCUCUUUACGCGCAUCAAAUACAUAAUCCGAAACAAUGCCGGCUAGUGACUUGGCUCGUCUUCUUCGGGUUUCGACUUAAUCCGCUAAAUACGAGUUCCGUCCUCGCUGCAUCUUUCGCACGUUCUAUAACAUCAGCGAUGAAAAUUCCACGCUACUCACUAUGUACGCCAACUGGCUUUAACUGCCACAAUUUUUAGGCGAAACAUUUACGAUAGUCGCACAUCUGUUUAUCUAUAUACAUAUGUGGAAUAUACAUAAAAAGCACUCGUUCCAUAGCGACAUCGUCGAGGCGUCAGACUUCAUUUUCUACUUUCCGUCGUUUGAAAAUUCUCGUUGCCUGCGCCAAUGUUGUGGAUGACAUCAUUGCGAAACGGUUGAACGGCGGGGAAAGGGGCAUCCGUAAAGAUCGUGGAUCAUCACGAAGAGCGGGUAAAGACGAAGAGUGUGUUGCGUGGCGGACAGGAGGGGGGUCGAGAAUGAAAAGGAAGACAUGGCUAGCGAUGGCCUCGAGACGCUUCGAAUUUUUUCCGCCACGCGGAACGGUACAAGUUCUCGAUUAGUUCAAACAGCGACGUGUAGUAAAUUUGAAGAAACGUAGUGCGCAACCUUGGUAGAAAGUGAUAAAUCUAUCGAGCUGAAACCACGUGGAAAGAAAUUAUAUAACGCGUCUCGUUCAUUGUAGUUUCUUACGGUAAAUUACGUUUAUUCGUUCGUAUAUAAGCAGAAAGGGGAACAUUUGUACAGUUCUCGAUCGAUCUUACGAACGAUAUCAGAUGCAAGUUGUUAGAGAAAUUAAGAGGCAGAAUCGAACGACCAACGCUAGACGCACAGAAGUCCUGGGCGGCUAAAGAGCAAGUGGGAGGAACGGAGAAUGGAAGAACAGCGAAGAGAGAACGACCGAGGUCUUUCUACGUAGAAAACUUACAGAGGGGGGAGAGGAGAACGAAACCGUGAUGUGAUAUAAGUAUGAGAAUUCAGCGGUGGGGUAGACCAGGCAACCAGGCCUUGAACAAGCGAAAAAGAACAGAAAGCUUCGGAUCCUUUACAAUACGCUACACAAACUACCGCUUCAUAAAGUUGCACGAAAAUCGACUACCGCAUCUUCCGUUACCAAAUCGUCGUUUCCAAUCCGUUUGCACGUCUCGUCACUGUGAUUUUUAACGAUUUGGACGUUGUCUCGUUACGAAAACUAAAGACAUGCCCAGAAAUAGAAAGUUACACGUCCAAGUUCCUUUUGACUCGAAUCACGCGCAUAAUUUUAAAACGGCUAAGUCGAGAGUUAAAUUCGAACCAUCGCUACUUCGAAGUUUGUAUAAGCUGUCGCUGUGGGAUUAUCCGAGGCGAUUAAGCCCACGCGAAAUUUCUAUUUUGAUUACCUGAAACGAGCGUUACACGGAGCGAACUUGAAUUUUAAUGAUCGUGCACGCAUCCGUAAAAUUGGCGUUACGCAAGAAAGACCGACCUAACCAGCCUCGUUCACAAAAGUGUGCUUUCUAAAAGUGUCGUAACGAGAUAUAGUCGCUCAAAACUGGGAGAUGCUUCUUCUACAAGUAAGCAACCAUCGAGAAAAGCAGGCUAAGUUUCUACGACACUGGAACAAUGAUCGAGCGCAUAAAGAAUCAUAAGGUAAACGUGACGCGUUACAUGCGAUUUUUCUACAGUUCUUUCUGCUAUCGUCCGCCUAUCGUUGGAUUUUGCAUUUCGAUAACGUUUCUAUCGAAGAAAUCGGUUUCCUCGUAUUUUACUCAUCGAGGAAUGUCAGUAUACAUUUCCAUGCUUCUACGUGCGCUGAGGUUCGCCGUGCAUCGAGCUUUCGCAGUACGGUUCAUCGGAAUUUACGUUGCAGGAACUUUUCCGGAAGUGCGUCAGUAGAAUACCGACAAUGCAUAGAACGGCAGUGGCAAGAAAAAAAAAAAAAAAGAAGAAGAAAGGAUGGCCCGAGGAGAAAGAGAAACAGAAAAAUAAGAAGAGUAUGGCUAUCGUCGGAAAUUCGAUAACGCGUUGUAUAACCACAAGUAUAUCAAACCGUUGACACGCCAUCGGGAUUCGUAUCCUGUUUUGAGACACUCGACGAACGUCUGCGUUUUCCGUUCAUUGGGCGUCAUCGUAGCCGCGAAACUUUUUCUACCUACGUCGCGAACAGAAAUGAGGAAGAAAAAGGGAGAAGCGAAGGAAAAAUGUCUUACCUUUUAGCGUCACGAUAUUUACGAACGUCAAACGAAACACGUAUCGCUACAUCAAAGGUUGCUAGGCUCGUAACGUUUUAUCCGGACGAUUACAUUUAUCCUCGUGACCGUGUAUCGACCGUGUAACUUUACGAUUGUCCGUACCGAAGUUCAUACAUUUUUCAUCGGUCAGCUAAAUUUUAAAUAUCGUCGAUAUAUCGCGAUAUAUAGCUUGUCUCUCGAACUCGGCAGAAAUAAAGUCCUUUCCUGCUGUCCCCUUGCGUUUUCCUGGGACUAGAUCCUGGCUUUAUCGUCAAGCUGCGACUGUGUACGAUGCGACACCUAUAGAAGCGACAAUUCUACGUCGACGGGUAAAUUAUUUUUCGAUGCCGCCUCUGCGAGUACGGGAUCCAAUCGUAUAGAAACAUAUAAAUCUCGAUUCGAUUUAUCCCCAACUUCGUAUCUUCGUAAACUCGAGAAAAUAUGUUGAAAACAGCUGAAACAGAGAUCUUCACUUUGAUAAAGUGAAAAGUACGAUAAACCGGAUGGUGUAUCGGCAAAGAUGUUUCCUCGGAAGGUUGAAAAAUCGGCACCAUCUUCUAAUUGUUUGAACCGAUGAAACGUUCCUCAAAACAAUAGUCGUACAAUGAAAAUGGUAUCUACGCAGAGGCAAAAGCAUUUGAGGAGACGAGAUGAGUGAUCGAAGCGGCGCGAAACGAAGCAACGGAGGAAAAGGAAAACGAAAGCGAGAACUUCCGGUGGGGAGAGAAAGAACGAGGGAGAAGAGAGCAAAGAGAAGGAAGUAUUGCGAGGCGUGGGAGAGGGCGUCUCCUUUGACGGAGCGAGGCCACGCAGUGGAGAGAGGAUUUUACGAAGCAGCCUGUUCGUGCUUCUAUCCUCACCGAAAACCCACCCCAACUUUCACCCUCGCAGCACGCCCGGACGACUCGAUGCUCAAAGAUGGCCGCCUAGCUGGCUAGGAGGUCACCGGGUGCCUCGCUAGACCACGCCCUACACUCGCCAAACCCGACGGCUUUCCAUCGGCCGAUUUAGCUUCCACAGCCAGUAUCAAGGGCGCUUCAAGGACGAAUGCCAUUCUGCUCCUUGAAGAAAAAUCGUAGCUCCCUCGCUGCGAUUGUUUCUUCCCGGAAAUUGCGCAAUCACGCCGCUCGUUAGCGUCUUGGUGUAGUCUUUCUUAAUCGGCCUUCCUCGUUUUCCGUUACGUGACACGUUAUUCUCGCGAAACGAUGGAAAGUACCACCUUCUAUCCAUCUUCGCUAGGUCUACGAAAUUCUUCUUUCCGUUUAGACUUCGUUUCCAAGUUUUCAAUUCGAAGCGUUCGCGAUUUCAUAUCUUUCUUUGAUGUUACUUUCGUUUGGAAUACGUAGCCUGUGAUGUCCGACGUUCGUUAUAUUUAUUAGAUAUGGAAGAAGACGUUUAUCAGCGGUAUCGAUCUCUCGCCUUUCUUUUCACGAGAUCCUGUUACAAAUAUGGGACAUGGCAGCCGUUGAAGGAACUCAACGGUCAAACAGAUACGUGUGUUACGCGUAACGAAUAAUUACGGAAUUCAAAGGAACACGACUGGUUAUCGAAAGAAAUACGUGUGCGCAGAGAGGCGGGCUGAGUCACCGAGACGUAUCGCGAGCCCCUCCUCCCCCUUCUCUUGUCUAGAACUAAAUAGGUUUUUGGAGCGUGAGCUUUUUCGGGACAAAAUCGAUCGACCUGUUUCACUGGCCUAAUUACUGGUCGACGUUCUACCGCCGGAGUUCUCGUUCUCGUACGUGUAAACUUGCCGCCUCUGUACAUUCUGAUACGCUCUGCAAACUCCACUACAGCGGCAAACGUGAGUGUGUCUGUAUGUACCAAGUUCUCCACUCUGACAAAAGAGAACAGGAUUUACGCUCGCUAAUCUCGAAAGAUAAGUAAUUGGCAAAGUGUAUCGCCAAGUCCGAGUACGAAGAUAGUGGCGCCAAACGGAAAGAUGCAACGCUCGCGUAAUCGAUGGUCGAACGAAUAAUGCUCACGCGAUCUAGUGGAACGUAGCCUUGUAAAAUUUCACGGCGACUAUCUCUCUAAACAUCAUACGAGGAAUUUCUCGCAGAUACGUCUUAGACAACGUUAUUUCCUCUACUAGGUUGCUCGUUCCGCGAAAAUGAGACAAUAAAUGUCGAGCAACUUGAUUUCGCGGAACAACGGCACAAUUUACUCGCUAUAGCCACUAAAAUGUUUCCCGAUAAACAGUCCCUCCAUCUACCAUCACGACAUGUUAACUGGCUUACAGCGCUAUCCGGUAUACGCACUACGAAUCGAACGAUAAAUAAUAUGUAUGGAUUCAUUCAUUCAACUGCAACCAACCGGUGUCCUUUUUUUUUAAUGAACGGCAAAAGAUAUUACUGUUUCUGCCUCGCGUAAGUAACAGGUUACAACCGUGUUUAAUAGCAAGUGCAUUUCCACACGUGCAAGUUGCACCUGUACAUUCGACGUAGAUGAUACAUUCGUUUCUCUUCUCCUUUUUCUAUAUCGUCCGAGUUUUUUUCGAUAUUGCUCCCAUGGUACGUGGCGAAUAUUCACGCGCGAUAUUUUCCAAGUACGAUAGUACCCGCGUCAUUUAUUUCGCAAACAACUUCCCCCGAGCGACACUGCCGAGAUAUCCCUCAUUAGUACCCCUACGAGCUGUGCGUCUUCACCUGUCUUUCAAUUAUAUCUCUGGCUUCCCUCGCCGGGAUUGCUCGUUAUCCUCGGAAACCGAGGCGGGUUACGUAAUGCGUGCUAUAAUGGCGCGAUUAUCGUGUGUGUGAGAUAGAAUUUUUAAGAACCGAGGAGUUGGAAGAGGAAGAAAGGAAAAAUAGCGCUGGACUAACGAGCGGCGCUGCUUCAUCGUCGGUAAGCAGAAAUUUCAAGGAUACUUGAACGCUGUUUUCUAAGAUUUUCUGAAAAGAAAAGAAAAGAAAAGUCAUUCGCUGAUCGAUGUAACUAACGAAAUAACCGACCGUUUUGGGAUCGACGACGCACGAGUAUAAUAUAGUCUUGAAUCGAGCGAAAGGAGGUGGAGCAGGAAACGUAAAAGAUAGUAAAGGAGAGGGCGCGCUAGUGUCGGAGGAGGGACAGAGGUAUUUCCGUUGUUGCAGAGUCUAUCCAUUUGGCAGGUUUAUCAAAGGGUAUGUGGACGCGCACGCGCGCUCGCAUGUGCCCACCUACCUACUUACUUACUUACCUACCUGCAUCUUAGUUUGCCUGCUUGCCAGCCAGCCUCCUCUCUAGCUGCUCUCUGGUUGCUCGAUUCUCCUGGCCUGCCUGGCUGCUUGCCUGCUAGGCUGCCGGCCUACCGGUUUGCCUUGAUCCCUUGAAUAGCCAGGAGGUGGGUUGGAAGGUAGGUACGGCUUUCUUACGUAAGCGCUCCACUAGAGAGCGAGUUAUCGUGGCAGGGUCGAACAGAUGAAUCGACACAGAGAAACAGAUUUCCAGAGAUCCAUCGACCGAAUUCUUUCUCAACGAGGUUAGACGCUCUUCCGAAAGAUCGAAGAGAAUCGUUUUGCUGUACCAUCUGUGAUAUUCCAGGCGAUCGAUUUAACUUCGAAAAUUCGAAUCGACUUGACAGAUCUAUUUCGAAGGGAAAGCUCGAAUUUGUUCAUCGACUACGCGUCGGUAGGCAAUCCGGUUGAUUAGCAGGUCUACCAACGAUGAAACGUAACGAUGUCUAGUUAUUUAUUGAUCAGCGGCGUGAACGAUGAGGCAAACCUAGGGCGAUUCAUCGUGUACUGUCAAGGCCGAGAACUUCCUCCUUUCGUUCUUCGACUCGAUUAAUCUUGCGAAAGAAACGCUCAAUCCGGAAGAAUCGAGGCAGGAACAGCAAUAUCGAGACGAACGACGCGUAUCGUCGAUGGUAGAGCAUUCCGCCGAUGGCCGCGCGGUUCCUAAGCAGGCCAACAACAUCGCUAUGAAUCGUACUCGGCCGGAGUACGGCGCUUGUGCCGUGACACAGAUAUCACGCCCUCUCUCCAACCCCCUUCGCAAUAUCCCUUGCUUUCAUAGCCGCUGCAAACUGGGCCAGUGCAUCUAUGAAACGGACGCGUAAAUUUACUGGAUCAACUUUAACGUUCAUCUCCGCAGAGCUAAAUAUUAGGGUCGCGUUCCUCGCUUCUCGCUAGCCGCGGCGUUUUCUCCACUACCUUUUUCCUCCUCCUCCUCCUCUCAAUGUUCCCAUCUGCCGUGCUCUGUAAUUUCGAGGCCAAAUUCUUCCUUCCACGCGUAUUUCUUUACCUUUGACCCUCACAUAAUGCACGUAACGUAUAUACAAAAUACGAAACGAACGAGCAUCUCGAUGCACGGAAACGCGAGUAAUAAAAGAAGAAGAGAUCGCCAAGCGUCCCGAAGAUCGUUUCGAAGACGAACAGACACAUUCAUCUGGCCGAUCGAGCCAUGAAAAUUUCAGAGCAUGCGGAUAGACCUGUUGGGUGUCCGUUGUGGCUAGAGCAGCGUUGCAGCCGUAUUUUUCCAUAACGAGAGUGCCGUCGCGUCGCAUCAGGAGGCGCAAUUGUGGAGGUUAGAAUCACGCGUGCGCGACCGCUCGCGUUCUCUCGCGUAUCCAUAAUUGCGCCGCUUCCUGCGCGUGAAUACCGUUGUCCUACAUUUCGGUAAGUACGCCUCCGUCGCGUUAUUUUACGAACUAGGUCGAACGACUCGGCCGUCAUACCGCGCAAGCCUAAUCGUCGCGAGUCUGCUGGCCUACUGCUCGCUCCUUUCUUUUCACCGAUCGACCGCCCGCUAUUUUAUCUCACCCUUAUCACCGUGCCUCACCAAUCAUAAAUGGUACACCGAUCUAGCUAGAAUAUUCUUUCGUUCAACGAUGCCACGACGGUUGGUGCCUGUCAUCGAAACUCUUUCUUCUUCUUCUGCUUCUUCUUUCGUUUCUCCUGCGUGUGCGUAUCUCUACACAGUUUAAAGGAAACUUCGUCUCAGAACGCCUAAAACGAUACUGUCUGUGGAGAUUAGGGUUAGGUUGGGGUUAGGUUUGAGAUUCGCUUCGAGAAUUAAUAUCUGAAUCACGACAAAACACCUGCGAGAAAUUGGGCGAUUACGUUGUUGCGUCGAAAACACUUUCAGACUCCCUUGACACGGGACUUGAAAUCGUAGCGUAGGAAACCUCCUAUCGUUAUUGCGAUCCGGUGUAAUUACGGCUUACUCGUACUUCCGAGAUUUUCCUCGCAGGAAUUGCUGGAAACAUUUAUUUUCCUCAUCCUCGAUUGUUCUCUGCGUUCUGUUGCUAAGACCAGUGUCUUCGGUCUCGAUAGAAUCUCGUAGCAAAAAAAGGAACAACGAUUUCUACCUUCUGCAAGAUGAAACACAUCGAAUCGAGUUGAAAGACGUGUCGUUAGUUUCGAGUUUCCUAACCUAUAUACCUGACAGUUUUCGUAAAGGCACGCGUUUGCAAGGUAAAAACGAUGCAUUACGUCAUCGACUGUGAAAACAUUCGCGUGUUCUCCGAGAGAAUGACAGGUGCAGGGAUAGGCCGACCCGCGAGCGUUCGUAACGAACGUUCUAAGCUGCGAAUCUGCCGCUACACGGAAGCGCGGACCCUUUCAGAGGAAGCGGACUUUCGCCCUAGUGAAUUCGCGCACCGGUGGAUCAUCGUUAAUUUUAGAGGGCAGCAGCGGCCUUCGAGCAACACAGCUCGGUCUCUCUUUUAACGAGCAUCGAUGGGAACGAAUUUCUCUCGCUGCCUAUUCGUCGUAAUUAUUCCACCUUUCGGUUUUUCUUCCUCCGUCCUUCGACCAACUUCCUAGCCGAUAUUAAACGCGCAUCGACUUCGUUAACCCUGGCUCCCCAUUACCGUGGCACUUCCGCUAAAAACGCUUAUUUCUUGAAACACGCCUGAUUCUAGCCGUCUCUUAAAUACCGUGUAUGCGUCGGCAUUUCGUCGCUUCACGCGAGGAGGUCUGGUCUUUGGUUUUGCAUACUAUUCGGCGUGUCUGAGAGGAAUCUUCGCGUUGGAGGAGUAUUCGUCCUUGGUGAAAACUCGUUAAACAAUGAUUACUCUUGAGGAUCUAUACUUAUCGAUAAGGAUAUUUUGUUUUCUUACAGUAAACAAAUAUGAUACACGUACGUUAGGAACUCGUAUUAUGCGUUAGCGGAAUGACGUGGCGCUUAGGUUUUUUAAUUUUCAAUUUCAAUAUUUGGAAUUCUAAAUGUUUCAAAAAUACGACGCACGUCGUUCAUUUGGUUUUUAAAGGUAGGAAUUGCGGCGGAGUGGCGAUGAGCAUAUCUACGGUGAGUAUGUUUUCGCAACGAAGAUAUUUCAACGACCGAGACGUGGUAAGAUUUUUGUACGAUUUUGCUCCGGCCACGUCGGACCUUUUCGGACUAAUUCUCUGCCUGGACGUGAAUGCGUACACACAUAUACACUCGCGUAAAUAUACACAGGCGGUACUCUCUGGCGAUUCUUACGUAAUCGCAAGAUAGACUUAGCGAUAUUUCGUUCUUUUAACGCCGCUGAACGCUCGAGCUGUUUUUACGUCGUGAUCGGAGAAGCGAUUCUCAAAAUGCUGCGUCUGGCAUAUAGGUAAGUAUACGUGUGUUCGAACGAACUUCCCGUGCGAUGAAUCGAAAAUAACGAUGAAAUAUUACUUACUUGUAUAGGUAUAUUGUCGCUAAAUAAAUCCAAGUAUAUAAUUUUAUCAGAUAAAUUUCACUGUGCUGAGUUGCUGGUUUGUUUUUGAAUCGUUCGUCCGAUUAGAACUUGCUUAAGCCACUACCUUACUUCGAGCACGAUAAGCAAAAAAGAUUCUUAUCGCGUUGUAACAGGAUACGCGAAGAACAUAAGAUCAAGAUCACCACCGGUUUCUGCUAUAAAAAAUUUUCCAUUCGAUCUUCCUGCCCUUUAGUAAUAAACAUUCUAAUUUACUAUAUUUGUUACUUGUCUCGGUGUACGUAUGGGUAAUAAAUAAUCUCGAAACCAAGGAACAAAUCAUCGACAGAAGAAAUUGUUCGCUGUUGAAAAAGACAGGUGACCCUGGACAGAAAAAUAGUCGAAUUGUUCGCACAAAGAUGUCCUGACAUAGCGCUGCAGUCAUGAUGCAAGUACAUACUUACUACAUACCUACUACAAGCACAUACCUACAUACGCAUUAAAUAGAUACGAGUUCGUGCGUAAAUACAUACAUUGGAACGACGAGACCACGCUUACAAUUACGUUUGCUGAUUUUGUGAUCAUAAAUUAAUACGAUUCCAAAUAGAUGCGACACGACUACGUGCGCCGUAUUCAAUGGGAAUAUAUGUAUGUAUGUAUAUUGAAUACGCGUGUAUACACCCGCCUCUGAAGGUAGCGUAACACAGUGGUACUCACCGCGAAAAUUAUCCGUUGCUACUCUACGUCUUAAUCCGUCGCGUUAGUAACAAUAAGAGUCAGCGUUUUCUGGGAAAUGAAAGACUCGUUGAUACUAAAAUACGAUUUGACGUUCAUGGAAGCGGAAUGCAAAGACUUUCACGGUGUGCGAUUUCCAUUGUCUUCGUAUUCGAAAUUAGACGGUAAACGUACCGAAUAAAUAAUUAAGUAUAACAUUUUGAAUAUUCGUUCGACUAACGACCGUCCUUUGAAGUAUAUACGUAAUUUAAAAUUCAAGUAUGCACAUCGGAAAGUCAUUGGUUUCGUAGGAAGAACCGACUGAGGGAGACGGCGUCGUUACGGAAAGCAAUUGGUCGAGCAAGUGGAAAUAUCCAAGAUUCAGCGAGAAAGACGCGCGCGUUCGUUGUCUCGAACGACACCGAUUUCCAAGUGGAAAAACCAACUGUUACCAACUGCGGUUAACGCAUAUUGCGUGCACAUUCCAUGAUCGUUCGUUCGUGCGAUGUACACACGGAGGAGAAACGAUAUUCGAAGAAUCCCUUUGACCGUGGCACGAGCAAACUUUCGAGAAUUUGAUCGGCAUGGCAGCGAAAGAGUGAGCAUAGCUCGGUGAGUACCACUGUUGUAGGGCGAUCAUGCGCGCUCUUCCAGCUCUACGGCAACCAACCCCCGCGGCUUGCGUCGCCUAUCUAGCCUUCUGUUAGUUGCGUAACGCUGCAGAGUCAUGCGAUAGGAUAGUACUGUCGUGGCGCGACUCACGAACACGGACGAACAUGGUCGAACGUGCACGAACGUGGACGAAGAGGAACGAGGAGAAACGAACGGCACAGAGGAAACGAACCGAGCAAGACGAACGGACGUGCGGACGUACCGAUAGAUCCAGAGAGAGGAAGAAGGAGAGAGAGAUGGCGAGCGCGCGAGGUUAGGGGAAAGGAGAAGAUGCUUCGUCUUUGGCGAGGACGAAAAGAGUGUAGAACGUAGAACGUAGAGUGUAGGUAGAGUGCAGAGAAGAGACGGUUCAGCCUUGAAACGCGCCGCGAGCGGCUUCGUCGCGAGUUCCGUGCACGAACGCCGACUCGCGGAUCGUGUCGAAUCGUUUUUUCCGAUUUUUUUCCCACGUCUCGGCAGCUCGCCGUUGUUCGUGCCACCUGGUACCGUUACUAUUGCCCGUCCUAUCAGGAUUUUCGUGUUCCCUUGAUCGAGCAGCGUUACCUUCUAUUUUACACACGUUUUAUCUUUUUCCUCGCGCGCCGUUCGACACUUUCGAGACAACGUGAAUCGAUUUUUAAUUCGUAUAUACCGUGAAUUCUAUCGUCUGCGAUAGCUGCACGAACAAUAGCUAUUGGAUAAACGGUAUUGCUCGGUUUUCGUUUCGAUGCGAAACGCGUACGAAUUAGAAAGCAAGUUAAAAAUUAAACGUGACGUUCCGCUAUCCUCGAUCAAGUCUUAGAUCAAACCGAAAGCAACUUUCUGACAACGGUAACCGUAACCAUUAACGUACCUGAAAUAACGUAAUUUAUCGUUCCAGACAGUUUUAUCUGGUCCAUGGUAUCGGGAAUGAAUAGCCCGCCGGUAAAUUUAUCGAGGAAACCAUGAAUCGGCUGAAUGCGUAUAUCAUCAAUUCGAUAAGGAGCGUAUCGCUUGGGAAUCCUCCAUAGGCGAUCUCUUUCGAGUUUUCCGAUUGUCGCGUGCGUUUCGCAAUCUUCCAACCUGACUUGUAAGAUAUUCGCGGUCGCGACUAGGUUUUCUCCGUAGAGCAUCGGAUGCGAAGUUCCGAGAAGUACCGCGAUAGAUAAAAAUAGAUAAAAGCGACGGCAUCGGUGGCCCGUUGGCGUUCUGGGAACGCUUUCGUCAAUCAGGGUCACGAGUGCACCGAUGCGCCUCGUUAUGUCUAAAAGCAGUUUCGUGUAACUCCGAGGAAACGAAGGUUUCGUUCAACGAAUGAACGGCAACCGUACUGACCUAAACACGUUCUAGAUGACAAUGCUUUGAUGGAAACGCAUUAACCAACCGAAUUAUCGCGUCGGUUACGUGGUUUCCGUAUUGUUCUUUGCUAUCUCUACCUUGGUACAAUGUUACCGAAGUUAAGGGUAUUUCCCAUUUGUAAUCGAUAGGUAUAUAUUUAAUCAUUUCUGUCCCAAGCAGCGUGUCGCAUAUUUAAUUCGUCGAAAUAAGAAAGCUGAACUAUCAUUUAUAACGAAGAGGAGAGUUCGUAGGUCGCUUGCAAAAGCCUCAAUAACCGUCUCUCUUCCUCGCGUAUACGUCGAUCGAACGAGCUCGACUAUCUUUCGUAACGAUGAGGUGAAAAGAAAAGACAGGGUGGUCGCGUUGCGUUGGUGGAAAGAUAACAGAGCGCGAGUGUGAAAGAAAACAGUGUGCAAUCAACGGUAUGCAUAUACGACACUUUUCGUAUAAAGUUGCAAAAUCGUGCUGCGCGCAAGCAAAAGCAAAAACUAAGCGACUUUUUUUCAAUGCUUCGAUAGCAGUUUGCUUUGUCGAACGUGCACGACUUAUUUCUUAAUCCACAAUCGAGGGAACCAAUGUUGAAACCAGGCUUUGCUAAGGACGCGCCCUAUAUUUUUGUAUGUACGUACAAGUACGUUGUAAAAAUAUACGUAUAUCUGCAAAUACGAUUCGUUCUGAUAUAAACAAGAUGGUCAAUCAUCGAACAGUCUUUUCGAAAAAAAAGAUUGUAGUUAAAAAGCAGAAGAAAAUACAGAACACUCGUCGAGUAAGAUGAGCAUGAGCGUAAAGAGGUUAGGUCGAAGAAGUCUGGGAAAGUAGAGCACAGGGAAAUUGGAGGAAAUGCAGUGAGAGGGAGAAAAUGGGAGAAAAAAAAUUGCGGGAAGAAGGGCUGGGACGACGACAAAGUGGAAUGAAAGCGAGCGCGAGGGAGGCGGAAGUCGAAGGGUGAAGGAAGGGGGAGAGGAAAAACGCGGGCGUAAAGAAAAGGAAAGGAAACGAAGGGAAACAGAAAGAAACGCAUGGCACGAGAAGGGUAGCUGGUUUCGACUUUGUAGUAGGCCUCGAUCGAUGCUGUUACCAUGGUUACAGGGCAGUACCGCGGUGCUCUACUACUGAUUAUUUAUGUCAAGGAUCCCUCCCUGCUUCGAAGCUCGGAGCGCAAACUGAAACGCGAAUCACCCUAACCGGAGUGGCGAUGGUCUUUCGAGUCUCCCUCUCGCAAGAUUUCCAACAAUUUUUUCACACCGAGUUUACAUGUUGCGAACGUUACUCAAUUUUCAUCCUAGAAACCCGAAUUCGCUUUGUCGAAUCAAUCUUAUUUUCAAUUUCGUCUUCGAAAAUUUCCUACCGACGAAUCAGGCGAACGAUAAAGUCUCGUACUUAAAAACUCCAAACUGAAUCGAGUACGAUGUUAUCGAAAACGUAGAAUAAUUCGUUUAGAUGGAUCGAUAGCUUAGUGAUACUACGACUAAAUUAAAUGCGAAUUCUUAUACUAUUUACACAAUUUUUUAGCGUUGCUAACUUUGUGAUCUAUGUAUGUAACUACAUAUGUAUACAUGUAGAUAGAAAAACGUCUCGCGAAAUCUAGCUCGAGAAGCAGAACGGGGUUUCUUCGAGCGAUUCAACAGCCACGGGAAACCAAUAAAAGUUAAUGACUCGAUUUAAGUGGUUUCACAGAACUUUUCCUUUCUUUCGUUUUUUUCUUACAAUGAAAGAGCUUUAAGAAAGACGUGACUAAAACGGACAUAUUUAUUUUAUAUGGUCUCUAAGAUCGGUGUCUAUCAGUUAUCGAGCAAUUUGUUUCUUUUACGAAAUCCCUAAGUUUCCUAAACUUUUGGUAAAUCAAUUUUCAGUGCUUUAAUCGUCCAGAUAAAUAAAAGUAUACGAAUUUGUACGUCGUAACCCAAGAGAUAGGUUAUGUCUAUUCAACCAUAAUUUAAAAGAACUUUAACGUUACAAAAAGUAAAAAAGAUAACAUAAAGGAAUAGGGGUUCUUGUAAGAAAUGAGAUAAUAAGAUUAUCGGAUUGGAGGAUCAUAAGCCACCGGUAAAUUUUUUAAUGAAUCGUCUUAAAUGCGUUGAAGCGAAGAUUAGUUGGCAUUUAAAUGAUGGUUAUUAUUAAUGGCAAGUGACGACUGGAGAUGGAGCUUCGGUGCUCUUUUUAGAGCGAGCAGGACGGAGUAGAAUACGCAGAGGGAAGUAUUACUGUUGGGAAGGAUGCUUUCGACCCAGUUUCACCCUUCCAUGGUGGUGGAACCGUCAUGAGCAAUCGAUACUGCGUCAAGAGCCACGACGUCGUGCUCUAUCAUUAUGAGAGAUAUUGCUCUACCUUGCGUAGAAACGACAAUUAAACGCGAGUAAAAUGAUGUCAUCUUUCUCUUUUAACUUCUCUCUGCUCCUUUUUCGACAAGUUCUUUUUCUAACUCCGCGGCUGCCAAUAUAACCUAAUUUUUAGAUUGUAAUAUUCGACUAUUAGUUUAAAAAAAUAAUUUAACUCUAAAAUACUGCCUCUUUCUCUUGCGCUCUCUCUUUUCCUUGCCAAGAUGAUAUACAGUUUAUUAAAGUUAAUUAUUCGUUACAAUCAGUAAUAUACUCGUUACCUAUAACAGGCAUCUUCGCCAUUUACCGUAUAGUUUCUUGAAAGUCGGGUAAUUUAUAAUUUUAGCGUGUUAAUAAAUGUAUGAUUGGAGAAUAAUGUAAAAAUUUUGUUACUGCUACUUUGAAUAUGCCGUACCUUUACAUGAAGAUGAUUAUUUGGUACAUUAUAUACGUACAUUCACAAUGUACCUUUUACGUAUUCGUCACGGAGUGUUUAUAAUGUACCAUCAUUUGCAUCCAUUUGAAUGCAAAAUAACCAUAUUUUUAAGAAUUAUGAUAAAACCGUCAAAAUAGUGCGUCAUGAGUUACGAUAUAAAGACGAAUCCGAAAACAAUUUGUUACAAAAAAUAAUAAAGAAAUCAAUUUUCCUAUGAGUUUGCAAUCGUUCUAAAUUAAAUACGUAAUUAUAUAAUCAAUGGUAUGUAAGUGUACGUGUAGUCGUACAAUUUCAAAGUGAUAGUUAAAUUAUUUCAACUAUGAAUUCAAUAAUGAGAUAAUUUAAUAAUUUAUUGACUUUGGUAAAUUUAUUUCAAUGUUCUUCAAAUGUUGAAUUAAUGUAAAUCUACACAAAUAUGUUACUACCGUCUAUAGAAAUGAAAGUUUGAUAUUUGAAUUUUACGUUUCACUCUACAGCUGCUAGUUCUUGUGCGAUGUAUUUGUUCGAGCUACAUCCGGAAUAGUAAUUAAGAAACAGAGAUUUUUAAUGGUUACUUUUACAUCUGUAUGUUCGAUGUAAAUUGUGCGUAAUGGGGACAAUUAUUCAUUAUCGAGAAUGUGCAAUGUUGAUAAUACACAUAGUGGGCGGAUGAGGUCAUACAUACAAUAAAUUCAACGAGACGUUACAAGCUGUUCUUCCUACUUAUCUUAACUUCUCGAGUUUUAAACAAAAUUUAUUUCAACUUAAAAAUGCACCUUCUUUCUCGUUUUAUUAUAAAUUGCAUAGAAUAAUCAUGUUUUGAAUAAAGAUAAGAAAUUCAAGCAAGUUCUUCGUUCAAGCAUUACCUGUAUUUUUCUAUGUGAAACUGGUAUAUCAAAAGACUGAGUAAAGAAUUUCACAAAGAAAAAAUCAAUCUUACUAAUCGCAUAUUCAUCAGAACACACUCACAACGUAACAGCCACUUUCCUUCGAAUUAUAUUUUUAAUCAUUUUUUGUUUAUUCUAUAGGCGUACAUCUCAAAGUUUGCUACAGUCAACGUCUUUCGCUACCUCACACAUUUCUUUAAUCUUAACUUACGCACUAUCAAACUAAAGCAAUAACUAACAAUUACCUUUUUCAUAUUUACACGUCUAUCUCAUUAACCAAUUGUAUAUAAUACAACUUGCACUCUUUGCUAUCAGCGAUUUCUAGCAAUAACAGAUUGGUGUAAGUAAUCCGCUCCUGAACCUUUUUUUUUUGUGUUUCAAUCUUCUUUUACGAGCCAAUCAUAUUCGAAGUAAACGACGAAUAUUACUACAAUAGCAUAAAAAAUAAUCAAGGGAACAUCUUCAUAUCCUCUUAACAUUGUCAACAAUCCACGCGUCAGAAACCUUCCAAAUAAAGGAAAUCGAAUAAAAAUACUAAUACCAACUGCAUAUUUCACGUUAAUAAUACAAACGUUCAUCAGUAUACAUACAAUUGUGUACUUUAUACAAUGAAAAAAAAAAAGAAA